GGGCUGGGGCUCAGUGGUAGAACGCUCGCCUUGCAAGUGUGAGGCACUGAGUUUGAGCCUCAGCACCACA
rnacentral:tRNA from 1 species